rnacentral:rRNA from 1 species
AGUGAACGCUGGCGGUAGGCCUAACACAUGCAAGUCGAACGGCAGCACAGUAAGAGCUUGCUCUUACGGGUGGCGAGUGGCGGACGGGUGAGGAAUACAUCGGAAUCUACUUUAUCGUGGGGGAUAACGUAGGGAAACUUACGCUAAUACCGCAUACGACCUACGGGUGAAAGCAGGGGAUCUUCGGACCUUGCGCGAUUGAAUGAGCCGAUGUCGGAUUAGCUAGUUGGCGGGGUAAAGGCCCACCAAGGCGACGAUCCGUAGCUGGUCUGAGAGGAUGAUCAGCCACACUGGAACUGAGACACGGUCCAGACUCCUACGGGAGGCAGCAGUGGGGAAUAUUGGACAAUGGGCGCAAGCCUGAUCCAGCCAUACCGCGUGGGUGAAGAAGGCCUUCGGGUUGUAAAGCCCUUUUGUUGGGAAAGAAAAGCAGCAGGUUAAUACCCCGCUGUUCUGACGGUACCCAAAGAAUAAGCACCGGCUAACUUCGUG